rnacentral:rRNA from 1 species
AUUGAACGCUGGCGGCAGGCCUAACACAUGCAAGUCGAACGAGUGGCGGACGGGUGAGUAAUGUCUGGGAAACUGCCUGAUGGAGGGGGAUAACUACUGGAAACGGUAGCUAAUACCGCAUACCAUCAGAUGUGCCCAGAUGGGAUUAGCCAGUUGGUGGGGUAACGGCUCACAAGGGCGACGAUCCUUAGCUGGUCUGAGAGGAUGACCAGCCACCCUGGAACUGAGACACGGUCCAGACGCCUACGGGAGGCAGCAGUGGGGAAUAUUGCACAAUGGGCGCAAGCCUGCUGCAGCCAUGCCGCGUGUAUGAAGAAGGCCUUCGGGUUGUAAAGUACUUUCAGCGGGGAGGCGUUACCCGCAGAAGAAGCGCCGGCUAACUCCGUGCCAGCAGCCGCGGUAAUAC